rnacentral:lncRNA from 1 species
GACUUUACACCAAGGCUGGUCUCACUCUGCUCCAGAGUUACUCCGGGGUUACUCAGACUUUCCUCCACGGCAGCUCAGGCCCAACUCUGCAGCCACACCUGCCCUACUCCAGCCUUACUCCGCACCUACUCGGCCUCUCCUCGCUCGCUGCCGUCGUUCCUCUGCUCCUGCCCUCCGUUACUCCCACGUUACUCCAGGUUGUUACUCGGAGCCUUCCCAGCUCUUACGGCGAGGCUGCUCAGGACCCGGUUCCUACCCAGGCUUUACUCCGGAGUUACUCACGGUCCUGGCGGGCUCUGCGCUUCCUCAGGCCCUGCUCAGAGCUUACUCCAGGCUUCCUCCUGGCAGUCCUUACUCCGAGUUUACUCUGAGUUCACUCAGCCUUUGAGGCACUCGGGACUUGCAGGCACGACUUACUCCAGACUUACUCCAGGCUUAGGCGGCUCCUUACUCCACCCUUGCUCAGCUCCCCCUUCUGGGUUGAUUUUGUUCCUCUCGCGCUGCUCACUCCUUACUCACUCCUUACUCACAGCUCGCUCCAGGUGCUCCGAUCCUCUUUGCCUUUGCUCGGCGCUUACUCCGCCCUUACCCUGCUCGGAGCUUACUCAGAGCUUACUCAGCCUUUACUUGGAGCUCGUUCACUCCUUGCCCAGAGGUUGCUCAGCCUUUACUCAGAGCUUACUCAGCCCCGGCUCUCCUCCGAUGUUCCACCGCUGUCGGCCUGCCCCGCCUUACUCACAGGUUGCUCAGGCCUUACUCGCAGGUUACUCACACUCAUCUGUGGUGGCCUUACCACGCUCGACGCUUACUCCGAGGUUACUCCAGCCUUCCAGGGCCCCACCCCUUGUGGGCAGGGCCUCUGCCGCCUUCACUACUCCACCUUUACUCAGCCGAUACAAAGGCCCUCCUCGUGCUACUCAGCGGCUGCUCAGUCUUUACUCACAACGUUACUCGGCCUCUGCUCCUGGUGCUCCUCCAGGCCUUUCCUCUGAGGAUACUCCAUGGAUUCUCAGCCCUUACACUCAGCUCUUACUCCGAGGUUCCUCAGCCCUCACUCCAGCCCAGGAGCUCGGCGUUACUCAGAGGUUACUCAGGCCCUACUCCAGGGUCACAGCACCGAGCUUGCACAGCCGGGAGGGGAGCGCUCCUUACUCACGAGUUACUCACAGCUGA